UGUGAUCUGUGACAAUCUGCUUUCAUAUUGUUUCUUAAUUAAACUGCUCAUUGCUUUCUGUAUUGCUCAUUUGUUGAGUAUGUGAUAGGGUAUUUUGAUUGACUUUAGAUAGUUUGUCUUGGUGUUUCUUCACU